rnacentral:rRNA from 1 species
UAAACCAUGCACCGAAGCUGCGGCAGCGACGCUUAGCGUUGUUGGGUAGGGGAGCGUUCUGUAAGCCGUUGAAGGUGACCUGUGAGGGUUGCUGGAGGUAUCAGAAGUGCGAAUGCUGACAUAAGUAACGAUAAAGCGGGUGAAAAGCCCGCUCGCCGGAAGACCAAGGGUUCCUGUCCAACGUUAAUCGGGGCAGGGUGAGUCGACCCCUAAGGCGAGGCUGAAAAGCGUAGUCGAUGGGAAACAGGUUAAUAUUCCUGUACUUGGUGUUACUGCGAAGGGGGGACGGAGAAGGCUAGGCUAGCCGGGCGACGGUUGUCCCGGUUUAAGCGUGUAGGGGGUGUGACCUGGUAAAUCCGGUUGCAUGUUAACCCUGAGGCGUGAUGACGAUGCACUACGGUGCAGAAGUAGUUGAUGCCCUGCUUCCAGGAAAAUCCUCUAAGCU